UCUCUGUUCAUCUUUUUUGGGAGUCCCUCCCUGACCAUCCGACCUAAAGUGAUGUAGGACUUUUAGGGGCAGAAGCCAUUCCAGGCAGAGGGAUUAUGCUGGUCCUCAUACAUGGAACAAGUAAAUCAAUUUAGAGAAGCCAAAUGACUUCGUCCAGGUCACAGAGGAAGUGGGUGUCAUUGCCAGAACUGAACUCUAUGCCUCCCUGUCCAGCAAAAUUCCACUACAUAGAACAUAAUGUACCGUACCAUGAUCACGACAGUUCCAGGCAGGGAGUGAAGGGAGAGAGCCCAGGCUUCGGAGCUAAGCACAUGAAGUUUGAAUCCCAGCUCUUCUGCAUAUUCUAUGAAUCACUGAAUAUAUUUACAUACAUUCACUGUAUUCAGUUUCAUCUCUAAAAUUAGCAUAAUAUCCCAUUUUUAGAGUUGUGAGAAAGAUAAUAAAUAAUGCAUAUUUUAAAAACUGGUAAAUAAAAAGUUCUUGAAA